rfam:Glycine soja cultivar W05 scaffold12687_1, whole genome shotgun sequence.
AUUUUUGUGCUUGGGGCAAUGACGUAGCAUGUGAGGUUCUAACCGAGGUUGUCUAUUGCUGGUUGAAAACUAUUUCCAAACCCCCUUUUGGGCCUUUUAGAAUUUCUGGAAGGGCUCACUUCAGGUAGCA